rnacentral:rRNA from 1 species
GACGAACGCUGGCGGCGUGCUUAACACAUGCAAGUCGAACGGAAAGGCCCUGCUUUUGUGGGUUGCUCGAGUGGCGAACGGGUGAGUAACACGUGAGUAACCUGCCCUUGACUUUGGGAUAACUUCAGGAAACUGUGGCUAAUACCGGAUAGGAGCUCCUGCUGCAUGGUGGGGGUUGGAAAGUUUCGGCGGUUGUGGCUGGACUCGCGGCUUAUCCGCUUGUUAGUGGGGUAGUGGCUUACCAAGGCUUUGACGGGUAGGCGGCCUGAGAGGGUGACCGGCGACAAUGGGACUAAGGGACGGCGCAGACGCCUAAGGGACGCAAUAGGGGGGAAUAUUGCAGAAUGGGCGGAAGCCUGAGGCAGCAACGCCGGGUGCGGGAUGACGGCCUUCGGGUUGUAAACCGCUUUCGCAUGUGACGAAGCGUGAGUGACGGUAAUGGGUAAAGAAGCACCGGCUAACUACGUG